rnacentral:snoRNA from 1 species
CUGUAAGCGCCCUAAGGACACCUUUGGAUUGAUCCUCAAAACAACUAUUCUCUGAGCAGC